UUCUGAUAUUGCGGGUUUGGAGCAGCAUGAGGAAGUGAAUAUUGUGGCUGAGUGACUGCUAUGGUUGAAUGGGAUGGGACUGAUUUAAUGUUGGCUUGAUAGUGCCGAGUCAGAUUCAAGUGUACCUCAAGAGUGUUUCGCUUUUUUUUUGUGAUCGUUUUGAAUUAUGUAUUUAUGGUGCCAGUUUAGGUCUUUUCUCUCAGAUGGAUGCAAGAUACGAUGACUUGAUUUGAACUGAUAUUGGCUCCGAUGUGUAUGGGACUGUUAGUAAAUGGAUGUGGAAUGUAUUUUUAUGAACCAAGACUUAUUUCAAAUGUAUUUUGGAGUGUAUGUGAAUGUAUGUAUUAAUGCAAGACUGUAUGAUUGUAUUGGCUUGUUUGACAAACUCCCUGUAAUAGCUGCUGACCCAUGUAAUGAUAGGGAUGUUGAAUGGAACUUGUAUCCUUUUAGACA